rnacentral:rRNA from 1 species
ACCUACGGGGGGCAGCAGUGAGGAAUAUUGGUCAAUGGGAGAGAUCCUGAACCAGCCAAGCCGCGUGAGGGAAGACGGCCCUAUGGGUUGUAAACCUCUUUUGUCGGAGAACAAAACCCGGGACGUGUCCCGGACUGCGUGUAUCCGAAGAAAAAGCAUCGGCUAACUCCGUGCCAGCAGCCGCGGUAAUACGGAGGAUCCAAGCGUUAUCGGGAUUUAUUGGGUUUAAAGGGUGCGUAGGCGGUUUGAUAAGUUAGAGGUGAAAUACCGGUGCUCAACACCGGAACUGCCUCUAAUACUGUUGA